rnacentral:lncRNA from 1 species
GCCCGGGUCCCAUCUGCUUACAAUGUCAUCUUGGAAUGGCCUAAACUAAAUGUGCUUGGAGCAAUCAUCUCCACAUACCAUCUGUUCGUGCGCUUUCCAACAAGGAAAGAAACUGACAAGAUGCAAGGAGUUCAACAGCUAGCCCGAUAAUGUUACUUAUAUUGAGAAUUGUGUUCCAAAAUCAAUCAUCAAUAUAUUGACAAUUGAGCUCAUUGAUGUAAUUAUAUAUGAAUUAUUAAAUAAUAAAUAUUUUUUAAUUUUUCAUCACUUUGUGUACAUCUUCUUUGAACUCCUGAAUUGUGAUGAAGUCUUUAGGACUAUUUGAAUCGA